GGGAGAGCAAGAAGAAAAGGGCAAGGAACAGAAGGAGUGGCCGAGGCGUGGGGGUGGGAGGGGGAAUACAGCAAGAGGGGCUUUUCUUUUUUAAUUCCUGGAGCUGUCGUGGCUUGAACUCGAUCGUGCAGAUCCGAGCUGGUGCAGGCGCUCUUUGCCCGGGAUCCCUACGUCUCCAGGAAAGAAGCAGCACCUGAAGAACAUCUUCUGGAUUAUGGCAAGAUGGUAAUAGAUGCCAGUAGCAGAGACGCCGAUGAAUUCUCAUGUCC
rnacentral:lncRNA from 1 species